GAAUUUCUUGACAUGGAAAGGAAAAUAGACGUUACCAAUAAAGCUGUUGCAGAAAUUCUUUCAAAAGCCACGGAAUAUCUUCAGCCAAAUCCAGCAUACAGAGCUAAGCUAGGAAUGCUGAACACUGUGUCGAAGAUCCGAGGGCAGGUGAAGACCACCGGAUACCCGCAGACAGAAGGCUUGCUGGGAGACUGCAUGCUGAAAUAUGGCAAGGAGCUCGGGGAAGACUCCAC